GACGAACGCUGGCGGCGUGCUUAACACAUGCAAGUCGAACGGAAAGGCCCUGCUUUUGUGGGGUGCUCGAGUGGCGAACGGGUGAGUAACACGUGAGUAACCUGCCCUUGACUUUGGGAUAACUUCAGGAAACUGGGGCUAAUACCGGAUAGGAGCUCCUGCUGCAUGGUGGGGGUUGGAAAGUUUCGGCGGUUGGGGACGGACUCGCGGCUUAUCAGCUUGUUGGUGGGGUAGUGGCUUACCAAGGCUUUGACGGGUAGCCGGCCUGAGAGGGUGACCGGCGAGAUUGGGACUGAGAUACGGCCCAGACUCCUACGGGAGGCAGCAGUGGAGAAUAUUGCACAAUGGGCGGAAGCCUGGUGCAGCAACGCCGCGUGCGGGAUGACGGCCUUCGGGUUGUAAACCGCUUUCGCCUGUGACGAAGCGUGAGUGACGGUAAUGUGUAAAGAAGCACCGGCUAACUACGUG
rnacentral:rRNA from 1 species